rnacentral:misc_RNA from 1 species
GCGAAACGGUCCUGUAAGCAGUAGAGUAGCCUUGUUGUUACGAUCUGCUGAGGGUAAGCCGUCCUUCGCCUCGAUUUCCCCAAUGGGUUCUCCGGAUUUCUGGAGACUUGUAGGGGUUGUGGGAUUUUUGAUGUGUCGUCUCCGGACGGGCGGUGCAGGGUAGUCGAGUUAGACUUGGUGGAAUUCCGUCGAUAGGAGUUCCGUCGAGUCUGGUCGGCUGUGUGUUGGACGGUGCAGGGUAGGCUGCUUGGACAUGGUCGGUUCGAGGAUCGAUUCGAGGGCCGGCCUGUCGAUGAUGUGUGAUGUAUGCGGUCUAGGGUAGGCUGGUUUGUCUUGGUUCAAUUUGAUGUCGGCUCCCGUGCAGGCCAGAGUGAGGGGGUCCAGGGUAGGUACAGGGUAGGCAGCUUAGAUUUGGUCGAUCUGGAGGUCGAUUCUCCGGCUGGCGGAUCUGACACUGUCGAAACGAGAUGCGAGCGGUGUAGGGUAGGCUAGUUUCGUCCUCGCCAGGUUGCGAUUUGGACGAGAUAUGUGGUUUAGGGUAGGCUCUAGGGUAAGUAGAAUUCGAGUUUCGUCGCCGACAGUUUUCUGUGGGUGUAUGGUAGGUACAGGGUAGGCAAAUCUCUCUCCGGCCAGUACUUGUCUGGUGGUCGUGAGUCGAUUUUUUUGUUUUGCCAUACUAUUGAAUUUUGCGGAAAUUCAAAAGUGGCUCGGGAGUCCCGCCUGGCGUGCGUCCGACUCGAACAUCGUCGGUGUACAUAUGAGAGGGAGUAAUCCGGCCCGGCCGGGGCCCAUCGCGAGCUGCCGGGUAGGUAAAAGUAAAAAAGUUGUUAAGAGGCGCGGUGUCGGCGUGCUUGUAUUUGCGGGAGAGAAUUAUCUGGGGGUGCUGGGUAGCCGGGAAGACUUGGACGGAUCUGGCCCGGGAAUGGGUCUGGGCCUGGAUUCUGGUGUGGUGUAGGGUAGGCGUAGAUAGAUGAGUGGUCUAGGGUAGAUACAGGGUAGCCAGACGUCUGGUAUAUAGUAUGGGGGUGUAGGGUAGGUCUGGACACCGUUUUCCACUUCGCCCUUCCCUUUAGUCGAGGGAGGACGAUCUUGACUGGGACGGAGGUGUAGGGUAGGCUUAAUUUACGAUUACAUGAUCUGUGUCACUCUAGGGUAGGUGAAAAUCCCAUAUAUAUCUGAUCACAUUUGGUGAAGAAGUGGUUUGGCUGGUGAGAUGGACUAAAGUGCAAUGUAGAAUUAUAUGUGAUUUUGCAAAAGUGGGUGUGAAAUUGGAAAGUCGGUUUUGCCGCACAGAUGAGAGCACGUUUGAGGUGCCAUGAGAUGCACCUCUCCGAGACGACCUCAACGGUACCACCCAUGUGUUGGUCAGGCUCCUGUGCGGCCGUCCAGGGCGGGAUAAGUAGAGAAUGUGGUGGUGUAGGGUAGGUGACCAGGUCCAGGGUAGGUUCGCCAAAUCCGUCAAUCCGGCUUGAAUCGAAGGACAGGUCUAGGGUAGGCUAGAGUCGGGUCUAGGGUAGGCAACCCUCACCCUCGAAGUGGUCUACCCGGUAGCCAACUUCAAUCGCCUCUCACGGCCGCCACGGACCUCGCAUGACGACGGGACUACCACCAUCGGAUUCGCCUUGGUCGAAAUAGCUGGUAUAUGCACUUUUGAAAAAAUGCGUGCAAAAUGGUUUUGUGGUUUGGUGGCCGUGAGUCGAUUUUUUUGUUUUCCCAUACAAAUGAAUUUUGCGGAAAAUAAAAAGUGGCCCACGAGGCAGUCCUGGCGUGCGGCCCACUAAAACGGUCUCGGAGGGUAUAUGAGAAGGGAGCAAAUCCGGCCGAGCCUGAAAGGGUGAGGACGAACCGGGCGAGCAACCUCUCAGUAUCAGAUCUUGCAGACUUCCACUGCGUGUCCCUCUGUACAGCUUUGCAGGCUCCGGCCUCGGCAGCGGGGGGUUCAUAGUGGUCGUCGACCUCCACGAAACUGCACGCUCCGGCGUGACAGCGUACUGGGGAUGCCUGUGUAGAUGCAGUCCGGGCUUGCCUGGACCGCUAGCAGAUGGGCUCUGUGGAUGACUGGCCGCUGGCUAGACCUGAAACCUGAGCAACGGGAGGUAACCUCUCGCCGCGGA